rnacentral:SRP_RNA from 1 species
GGCCGGGUCCGUUUGGCGGGCGGCACGUGAAUCUGGUCAGGGCUUGACCGCAGCAGCCAUAAGCGGCGUCGUCCGAGCAUGCGGGUGCCUGGCCGUC